rnacentral:sRNA from 1 species
AGGCGCUGUAUAGAGAUGUCUGUGAUAGCCUUCGAAGCUAGAUCAGAAUUCAAGUAUUGAAUGCUCUACUGAACAAGUUCAACACUCAGCUGAGGCGUUAGAAGGUUAUGAAGGUGGUUGACAUCAGCAGUUUCAACUCUCUCAAUCUUACACCUUACUCAAGCGUUGCGAGUGUGAUCCGAGAUAGACUGGCUUCGUUCGAGUAGAAAUCUUCCGAAUCAUCUGCUGAUCAAAGAUGUAAUGUUUUCUCCAGACACUGAAUCCCACAGGGAAGCCUUAAGUGAUAAUGUAGUGAGUGACUAACCAACCACGAGCAAGCAAGGUUAACUGCUUGACCAAAAAACCAUACACAAUAAAUAGUUACGAUCAUUUAUUAUUCAUUGGCCUUCGGCCCUACCUCUCUCUCUCUUUUUUGCCCUUUCUUACUAUAUAAGUUAUAAUAUAGUAUUCAUAUUCACUACUUUAAUACCAGACCAUAGUUGAAGGGAAGGUAGACCCUGGACUGGAUUGUGUAGGCAAUAUCAAUAGCGCUCCUAGAAGUCAAAGACAAAAUGCAAACAGA